AAAUACUCGAAAACCGGUACCCACGUUCGGACUGCAGUCUGCAACUCGAGUGCAUGAAGCUGGAAUCGCUAGUAAUCGCGGAUCAGAAUGCCGCGGUGAAUACGUUCCCGGGUCUUGUACACACCGCCCGUCACACCAUGGGAGUCGGGAAUGCCCGAAGCCGGUGGCCCAAUCGAGAGAAGGGAGCCGUCGAAGGCAGGCCGGAUGACUGGGGUGAAGUCGUAACAAGGUAUC
rnacentral:rRNA from 1 species